rnacentral:rRNA from 1 species
CCUACGAGCGGCAGCAGUGGGGAAUAUUGGACAAUGGGCGAAAGCCUGAUCCAGCCAUGCCGCGUGUGUGAAGAAGGCCUUCGGGUUGUAAAGCACUUUCAGUGGGGAAGAAAGCCUUGGGGCUAAUACCCUCGAGGAAGGACAUCACCCACAGAAGAAGCACCGGCUAACUCCGUGCCAGCAGCCGCGGUAAUACGGAGGGUGCGAGCGUUAAUCGGAAUUACUGGGCGUAAAGCGCGCGUAGGCGGUCUGAUAAGCCGGUUGUGAAAGCCCCGGGCUCAACCUGGGAACGGCAUCCGGAACUGUCAGGCUAGAGUGCAGGAGAGGAAGGUAGAAUUCCCGGUGUAGCGGUGAAAUGCGUAGAGAUCGGGAGGAAUACCAGUGGCGAAGGCGGCCUUCUGGACUGACACUGACGCUGAGGUGCGAAAGCGUGGGUAGCAAACAGGAUUAGAUACCCCUGUAGUC